UGGGGAAUAUUGCACAAUGGGCGCAAGCCUGAUGCAGCCAUGCCGCGUGUAUGAAGAAGGCCUUCGGGUUGUAAAGUACUUUCAGCGAGGAGGAAGGCGUUGUGGUUAAUAACCGCAGCGAUUGACGUUACUCGCAGAAGAAGCACCGGCUAACUCCGUGCCAGCAGCCGCGGUAAUACGGAGGGUGCAAGCGUUAAUCGGAAUUACUGGGUGUAAAGCGCACGCAGGCGGUUUGUCAAGUCGGAUGUGAAAUCCCCGGGCUCAACCUGGGAACUGCAUCCGAAACUGGCAGGCUAGAGUCUUGUAGAGGGGGGUAGAAUUCCAGGUGUAGCGGUGAAAUGCGUAGAGAUCUGGAGGAAUACCGGUGGCGAAGGCGGCCCCCUGGACAGAGACUGACGCUCAGGUGCGAAAGCGUGGGGAGCAAACA
rnacentral:rRNA from 1 species